rnacentral:rRNA from 1 species
UUGAUCCUGCCAGUAGUCAUAUGCUUGUCUCAAAGAUUAAGCCAUGCAUGUCUCAGUACAAGCCACAUUAAGGUGAAACCGCGAAAGGCUCAUUAAAUCAGUUAUGGUUCCUUAGAUCGUACCCACAUUUACUUGGAUAACUGUGGUAAUUCUAGAGCUAAUACAUGCAAACAGAGUUCCGACCGGAGACGGGAGGAAUGCUUUUAUUAGAUCAAAACCAAUCGGCGGCGGGCGCGAAACCGCACCUCCGCCGCUCAACCUGGUGACUCUGAAUAACUUUCAGCUGAUCGCACGGUCUAGCACCGGCGACGCAUCUUUCAAAUGUCUGCCUUAUCAACUGUCGAUGGUAGGUUCUGCGCCUACCAUGGUCGUAACGGGUAACGGGGAAUCAGGGUUCGAUUCCGGAGAGGGAGCCUGAGAAACGGCUACCACAUCCAAGGAAGGCAGCAGGCGCGCAAAUUACCCACUCCCGGCACGGGGAGGUAGUGACGAAAAAUAACGAUACGGGACUCAUCCGAGGCCCCGUAAU